rnacentral:rRNA from 1 species
CCUACGGGAGACAGCAGUGAGGAAUCUUGGUCAAUGGGCUUACGCCUGAACCAGCCAAGUCGCGUGAGGGAAGACUUCCCUAUGUGUUGUACACCUCUUUUGUCAGGGAGCAACGCCGGCUACGUGUAGCCGGACUGCGAGUACCUGAAGAACAAGCAUCGGCAAACUCCCUGCCAGCAGCCGCGGUAAUCCGGGGGCUGCGUGCGUUAUCCGGAUUUAUUGGGUUUAAAGGGUGCGCAGGCGGAAGAUCAAGUCAGCGGUAAAAUUGAGAGGCUAAACCUCUUCGAGCCGUUGAAACUGGUUUUCUUGAGUGAGUGAGAAGUAUGCGGAAUGCGUGGUGUAGCGGUGAAAUGCAUAGAUAUCACGAAGAACACCGAUGGCGAAGGCAGCAUACUGGCGCUCAACUGACGCUCAUGCACGAAAGUGUGGGUAUCGAACAGGAUUAGAUACCCGUGUAGUC